rnacentral:lncRNA from 1 species
AUUAAAACAUUGUUUUUAGUUCAGAUUUGCAACAGUGGCCGGCUCCCUCUAAUCCACAGUGGUGGAGCACUGUGAUUGACAUUCAGCUGCAAAGCUCUUGCUGGGAAACGCGGUGGCCGAGCCGUCAGCACAGGCGGCAGCUGCCUCCCACACUUAAGACAGGACUUCUAAAGCCACAGUCCCUCAAACGGCAGGCAGUUGAAGAGAUGAAGGCGCAGAGGCAUGAACUCCCGUAGCCAGAGAGUGUGAGCUGGACUCUACCUGGAGCAGCCUCGGUGCAGAGCCCAUGCCCCCAACCAUGUCCGUGGUCGAGGCCCAGCCCAG